CGGAGGGUGCAAGCGUUAUCCGGAUUCACUGGGUUUAAAGGGUGCGUAGGUGGGCAGGUAAGUCAGUGGUGAAAUCUCCGGGCUUAACCCGGAAACUGCCAUUGAUACUAUCUGUCUUGAAUACCGUGGAGGUGAGCGGAAUAUGUCAUGUAGCGGUGAAAUGCUUAGAUAUGACAUAGAACACCAAUUGCGAAGGCAGCUCACUACGCGAAUAUUGACACUGAGGCACGAAAGCGUGGGGAUCAAACAGGAUUAGAUACCCUGGUAGUCCACGCCCUAAACGAUGGAUACUCGACAUACGCGAUACACAGUGUGUGUCUGAGCGAAAGCAUUAAGUAUCCCACCUGGGAAGUACGACCGCAAGGUUG
rnacentral:rRNA from 1 species